rnacentral:rRNA from 1 species
CCCUUAGAUGUUCUGGGCCGCACGCGCGCUACACUGAUGCAUUCAACGAGUUUCUUCCUGGUCCGAGAGGAAUGGGUAACCUUUUGAAAGUGAAUCGUGAUAGGGAUAGACUAUUGCAAUUAUUGGUCUUCAACGAGGAAUUCCUAGUAGACGUAGUUCAUCAGACUGCAUCGAUUACGUCCCUGCCCUUUGUACACACCGCCCGUCGCUCCUACCGAUUGAAUGCUCAGGUGAGCCAUUCGGACUUUCAUCAUGCUGGUUUCCAGUUUUGAUGAAGGAAAGUCUUGCGAACCUUAUCAUUUAGAGGAAGGAGAAGUCGUAACA